UCUACGAGUUUGAUCCUGGCUCAGAACGAACGCUGGCGGCAGGCCUAACACAUGCAAGUCGAGCGAACCCUUCGGGGUUAGCGGCGGACGGGUUAGUAACGCGUGGGAAUAUACCCUUUGGUACGGAAUAGCCUCGGGAAACUGAGAGUAAUACCGUAUGUGCCCUUCGGGGAAGAUUAUCGCCAAAGGAUUAGCCCGCGUUGGAUUAGAUAGUUGGUGGGGUAAUGGCCUACCAAGUCUACGAUCCAUAGCUGGUUUGAGAGGAUGAUCAGCAACACUGGGACUGAGACACGGCCCAGACUCCUACGGGAGGCAGCAGUGGGGAAUCUUAGACAAUGGGCGCAAGCCUGAUCUAGCCAUGCCGCGUGGACGAUGAAGGCCUUAGGGUUGUAAAGUCCUUUCAGAUGGGAAGAUAAUGACGGUACCAUCAGAAGAAGCCCCGGCUAACUCCGUG
rnacentral:rRNA from 1 species